rnacentral:rRNA from 1 species
UACAGAGGUCUCAAGCGUUGUUCGGAUUCAUUGGGCGUAAAGGGUGCGUAGGCGGCCUUAUAAGUCAGUGCUGAAAUAUCCCGGCUUAACCGGGAGGGUGGCAUUGAUACUGUAGGGCUUGAGUAAAGUUGAGGUUGGCGGAAUUGACGGUGUAGCGGUGAAAUGCUUAGAUAUCGUCAAGAACACCGAUAGUGAAGACAGCUAACUGGGACGUAACUGACGCUGAGACGCGAAAGCGUGGGGAGCAAACAGG